rnacentral:rRNA from 1 species
AAUGAACGUUGGCGGCAUGGAUUAGGCAUGCAAGUCGAGCGAGAAGUGUAGCAAUACACGGAAAGCGGCGGAAGGGAGAGUAAUACGUGGGAAUCUGCCCUUAGACCUGGGAUAGCAGCGGGAAACUGCUGGUAAUACCAGAUAAUGUCUAUGGACCAAAGGUGUGAUUCCGUCUAGGGAUGAGCCCACGUCCUAUUAGCUAGUUGGUAGGGUAAUGGCCUACCAAGGCGAUGAUGGGUAGCGGGUGUGAGAGCAUGACCCGCCUCACUGGGACUGAGACACCGCCCAGACAGCGACGGGUGGCUGCAGUCGAGAAUCUUCGGCAAUGGGCGCAAGCCUGACCGAGCGAUGCCGCGUGCGGGAUGAAGGCCUUCGGGUUGUAAACCGCUGUCGAGGGGGAGCAACUUCCAUAGAGUUAUCUUUAUGGAUUGAGUGAUCCCUGGAGGAAGGACGGGCUAAGUUCGUGCCAGCAGCCGCGGUAAAAC